UACGGAGGGUGCAAGCGUUAUCCGGAUUCACUGGGUUUAAAGGGUGCGUAGGUGGGUCUGUAAGUCAGUGGUGAAAUCUCCGGGCUUAACUCGGAAACUGCCGUUGAUACUAUAGAUCUUGAAUAUCGCGUAGGUAAGCGGAAUAUGUCAUGUAGCGGUGAAAUGCUUAGAUAUGACAUAGAACACCAAUUGCGAAGGCAGCUUACUUCACGAUCAUUGACACUGAGGCACGAAAGCGUGGGGGAGCAAACAGG
rnacentral:rRNA from 1 species